rnacentral:rRNA from 1 species
CCAAAGAUUAGCGGCGGACGGGUGAGUAACACGUGGGCAACCUGCCUGUAAGACUGGGAUAACUCCGGGAAACCGGGGCUAAUACCGGAUAAUUCAUUUCCUCUCAUGAGGAAAUGCUGAAAGACGGUUUCGGCUGUCACUUACAGAUGGGCCCGCGGCGCANNAGCUAGUUGGUGAGGUAACGGCUCACCAAGGCCACGAUGCGUAGCCGACCUGAGAGGGUGAUCGGCCACACUGGGACUGAGACACGGCCCAGACUCCUACGGGAGGCAGCAGUAGGGAAUCUUCCGCAAUGGACGAAAGUCUGACGGAGCAACGCCGCGUGAGCGAUGAAGGCCUUCGGGUCGUAAAGCUCUGUUGUUAGGGAAGAACAAGUAUCGGAGUAACUGCCGGUACCUUGACGGUACCUAACCAGAAAGCCACGGCUAACUACGUGCCAGCAGCCGCGGUAAUACGUAGGUGGCAAGCGUUGUCCGGAAUUAUUGGGCGUAAAGCGCGCGCAGGUGGUUCNUUAAGUCUGAUGUGAAAGCCCACGGCUCAACCGUGGAGGGUCAUUGGAAACUGGNNNACUUGAGUGCAGAANANGAAAGUGGAAUUCCACGUGUAGCGGUGAAAUGNGUANAGANNNNNGANGAACNCCNGUNGGCGAANGNGACUNUNNNGGUCUGUAACUGACNCUGANGNNCGAAAGCGUGGGGANCGAANAGGAUUAGAUACCCUGNUAGUCCACGCCGUAAACGAUGANUGC